rnacentral:lncRNA from 1 species
AACAUGAAUGAAUAAAAAAAAAAAAAACAUUGUAAAAGUUGUUAUAAUGUUGUGUUUAUAAAUUAAAACAUAAAUGACAUUGAAACCUUAGUACAAAUGUUAUUGAAGUAAAGAGUACACAAUAAAAAAAAAAAAAUAAAAAAUAAAAAAAAAAAAAAAAAUAAAAGAAAAAAAAAAUAAAAAAAUAAAAAAAUAAAAAAAUAAAAAAUGAAAUAAAAAAUAAAUUUUAUUUUUUUAUUUUUUUUAUGUACGGAGAGCAAAACAAAUAAAAAAAAAAAAAAAAAAUAGGGUAAGACAAACAAAUUAUAACUUUUUUUACUUUCAUCAUUUUAUAUUAAAAUAAAUUUAAAAUGAAACUAAAAUAAAAAGUGAAAAUAUACAUAAUAAAUAUAUACUUAUAUAACUACUUGCAUUAACACAUAUAUAUAUAUAUAUAUAUACAUAUAUAUACGUAUAAACAUGCUUUUGUAUGCUUUUAUGUAUAUACAUAAAUAUUAAAUGGUAAAACAUCUUGAGGACACCAAAACAAACAAAAAAUAAAAAUAAAAUAAAACCAUUAAUUAAACUUUUAAAUGCCUAAAUGUAACAAAAAAAAUUUAUUUUCCUUUUUUUUGAAGAAAUAGUUUGAAAUAUGGAAAACGGACUUAAUGUCCAUAAUAAAAUAAGAAAUAAAGAAAUAAACAAUCCUGGAAAAGAAGAGUUCAAAUCAACAAAUCAAAUAAAUAUAAAUAAUAAUAAAGAGUAUUCAUAUAAUAACGAUGAUCAAGAAACACAAAAUGAAAUAAUACAAGAUACGAACGAUAAUGAAGUUUUUAAAAAUUCCGGUGAUAAAAGUGAAAAUGACAAUUUCUGUUAUGAAUGUUAUCAUGCAGGAAAUUUAAUUUGUUGCGACCAUUGUAUUAGAUCCUAUCAUUUAUAUUGCUUAAGCGAAUUAAAUAGACCAUUGACAGAUUAUAACUACUGGUAUUGUCCUAUUUGUAAAAAAAAAUGGUAAUUCUUUAUAUUUAUGUUUUUUUUUUUUAUUUUAUAUGUUAAAACUUAUGGUUGCAGUAUAGUGUAAUUUGUUUGUCAUGUACAUUAGUUUGCUUUUAUUUAUUUCUGCUACUUCUCUAUAUAUAUUAUUUUUUUAAAUUUAUUAUUUAAUCUUUAUAUUAUAUUUCUCCAUUGUUUUAUUCUUUUAGGCGUAUCUAUGGGCGUCUCUUACAAGCGGAAGAAGAGAUUAAAAACGAUAAGGUUAAAAUUACAACAUAAUUGCAAAAAAGAAGGAAAGCAUGCUAUUUAUUAUGUACACAUGUAUAUGUAUUCUUUGUAUGUAUGUAUGUAUAUGUAUUCUUUGUAUUCUUUGUAUGUAUAUGUAUUCU